CCUACGGGAGGCAGCAGUGAGGAAUAUUGGUCAAUGGACGAGAGUCUGAACCAGCCAAGUAGCGUGAAGGAUGACUGCCCUAUGGGUUGUAAACUUCUUUUAUAUGGGAAUAAAUGUUCCACGUGUGGGAUUUUGUAUGUACCAUAUGAAUAAGGAUCGGCUAACUCCGUGCCAGCAGCCGCGGUAAUACGGAGGAUCCGAGCGUUAUCCGGAUUUAUUGGGUUUAAAGGGAGCGUAGGUGGAUUUUUAAGUCAGUUGUGAAAGUUUGCGGCUCAACCGUAAAAUUGCAGUUGAAACUGGUAGGCUUGAGUACAGGAGAGGUGGGCGGAAUUCGUGGUGUAGCGGUGAAAUGCUUAGAUAUCACGAAGAACACCGAUUGCGAAGGCAGCUCACUGGACUGCAACUGACACUGAGGCUCGAAAGUGUGGGGAUCAAACAGGAUUAGAUACCCGAGUAGUC
rnacentral:rRNA from 1 species